rnacentral:rRNA from 1 species
CAGCCGCCGCGGUAAUACGUAGGUGGCAAGCGUUGUCCGGAUUUAUUGGGCGUAAAGCGAGCGCAGGCGGUUUCUUAAGUCUGAUGUGAGAGCCCCCGGCUCAACCGGGGAGGGUCAUUGGAAACUGGGAGACUUGAGUGCAGAAGAGGAGAGUGGAAUUCCAUGUGUAGCGGUGAAAUGCGUAGAUAUAUGGAGGAACACCAGUGGCGAAGGCGGCUCUCUGGUCUGUAACUGACGCUGAGGCUCGAAAGCGUGGGGAGCGAACAGGAUUAGAUACCCCCGUAGUCCCUGUCUCUUAUAC